rfam:Xanthomonas oryzae pv. oryzae KACC10331, complete genome.
AUGUACCACGCGGACACUCCGGUUCUGAGCGCGCGGUCCGCACCCACCUGACGAUUGCUCGCUACGUUUUGUUAGCC